AUUGAACGCUGGCGGCAGGCCUAACACAUGCAAGUCGAGCGAGCGGCGGACGGGUGAGUAAUGUCUGGGAAACUGCCUGAUGGAGGGGGAUAACUACUGGAAACUGUCGCUAAUACCGCAUACCAUCAGAUGUGCCGAUAUGGGAUUAGCUAGUAGGUGGGGUAAUGGCUCACCUAGGCGACGAUCCCUAGCUGGUCUGAGAGGAUGACCAGCCACACUGGAACUGAGACACGGUCCAGACUCCUACGGGAGGCAGCAGUGGGGAAUAUUGCACAAUGGGCGCAAGCCUGAUGCAGCCAUGCCGCGUGGGUGAAGAAGGCCUUCGGGUUGUAAAGCACUUUCAGCGGGGAGGCGGUACCCACAGAAGAAGCACCGGCUAACUCCGUGCCAGCAGCCGCGGUAAUUC
rnacentral:rRNA from 1 species